CCGACCGCCUCUCCGCCGCUGUCCGCUUCUCCGCCACGCCGGCACCGGCGCUGUGUGCCUUUGCAAGGGCGGAGCUGCGUUCUCCUCGGCACAGACCCGGAGAGCAUUGCGAGGGCGGAGCUGCGUUCUGCUCUGCAUAGACCUUGGGGCACUGCCUCGCUUUGGGACAACUCGGGGCCGCAUCGACGGUGAAUAAAAUCCUUCCUGUUUGCAGCCAUGUUUGUGGUUGGUGGCAGCGAUGGACACUGCAGCCAGCCAGUGUAGAAAGGCAUUGGGUGAAAGAAGAUUGCCACGGAGACAGACAGCAGCAUGGUCAGUGUGGUAGGAGCCGGCCAUCAGCGAGAGCUGCUCCAUGCCUGGCUGCUGGGAGCUAGAGCCUGCGGCCCACUGGCUUGCCUCACUGUAGUUGGUGGUGGCAGUGACAGAGACUGCAGCAUGACCAGAGUGGCUUUUCUGGCUUUGCCCGCCCAGCUGCUCCAUGCCAGGAGGAGGAGGAGACACCUAGAGCCUGCAACACCACGGCUCACCUCGCUGCAGGUGGGUGGCAGUGACGGAGACUGCAGUGCGCCAGAGCGGUAGGAGAGUGGCCACGCUAGGAGGGCGGGCGGCUGCAGGCAGGGUUGGGAGUCAGGCUUACAGCGAUGGACGGGCUGCAGCAGUGGCCAGGUGGUAGGAGCCUUGUAGGGAGGGCUGGUGCAUUGGCAAUGGGCCUGGCUUUGCCCUGUGCCUGCCGUGGAUCUGGCCCUGUACUGCCCUGCCUUGCCCUGUACCUGCCCUACUGUUACCUGGACUCUCAGCCCUGUCCUGCUCUGGUCCCAUCCUGACCCUGUCUUGGCCCCGUGCUACCCUGUCCCUGCCCUGGUCUUGCCCUGGCACUGGCCCUGCCCUGAACCUGCACUGGCCUGACCUUGGCUCUGGCCCUGGCUCUGGCCCUGCCCCUUGUCCUGACCCUGGUCCUGUCAUGGCACUGGCCCUGCCAGUGGUCAUGGUCCUGCUCCUGUUCUGGCCCUGACCUGGCCUUGGAAAUGUCCUGGCUCUGCUUUGGCCCAUCCCUGCCCUGGCCCCACCAUGGGCCUUCCUGUUCUGCCCUCUCCUGGCACUGACCUGGCCCUGUCAUGGCCCAGUGGUGCCAUUGCCCUGCCUUACCCUGCGCUGGUUGUGCCUUGGCCCCGCUUGGUGCUGGCCGCUUCCUGGACCUGCCCUGGACCUGCCCUGACCCUGCCUUGGCUUUUGCCCUGCCCUCACUAUGGCCUGGCCCUGGCCCUAGCCCUGGUCCUGCCAUAUCCCUGACCCUGCCCUUAUCCAGGCCCUGCCCCUGCUGCUGCCCUGGCCCUGGCCUGGAACCUGGUCCUGUCAAGGACCUGCCCUGACUCUGCCAUGGCCCUGGCCCUGCUCUGCCUUGUUCCUGGCCCUGACCCAGACCCAGACCCUUUCCUGGCUCUGCACUGGUCUUUCCCUGGCCCUGAGCUGGCAGUGGUCUGCCCCUGGUCUUGCCAUCACCCUGCCCUGCUGUGCUCUGGAUGUGUCAUCACCCUGCCCUGGCUCUACUCUGCCUUUGACCCUGCCCUGGCCUUGCCUUGGCCCUCACCCUAGUCUUCGCUAGGCCCAGCACAGACCUGGCUCUGACCCUGGCCCUGGUCUUUGUCCUGCCAUAGCUUUGGCCCUGAAGUGGACUUGGAGGUGUCCUGGCCCCGGUGUAACAUGGCUCUGCAUUGGCCUGUCUCUGCCCUGCCCCUACCAUCGCCUUGCCCUGCUCUGCCCUGUCCCAGUACUGACCCGGCCACGCUAUUUCCCCGCCCUACCCUGCCUUGGCUGUGCCCUGGCUCGGUUCUGGCCCUGGCCCCGGCCCU
rnacentral:lncRNA from 1 species